GUUACCUGGGGCUUGUGAUCGUCGCGGACACCCAUCGCCGCGGAACUUUUCCUCUGUUCUUUCUACUGUUAGCCCUACUGCCGUUUCUCUCCUCCUCCUCCUCCUGGCAUCAGGUCCUCCUCCGACGAACGGACCGCUUUUCCCGGGGCUCCUACAAGUCACCCAGUCCCUUCGCGGCUGGCCGAGCUUUGGAUCCCGCUCGCCCCCCACCCGCAAGUGCAGGUAGCCCGUGGUUUCUCGGCAACCGGCACGCCACCGAAACUGCCAUGUCGGGAGAAAAGGCAGAGCGACUCUGAAUGGGGUCUUGCUGCUUUGCGCCGGUCUCCUGCGACGCGGCUACAUCCUUCGACGCGCUCCAGGCCUUGGAUGUAUAGGAAAAUUUGGGUGCAGACAUGCUUGGAUUCAUUUACAAAUGGGAAUCUGCAUUUCUGGCAGAACGUAUCUGCUGCUAAGUUUGCUGACCUGCAAUAACAACCUGGUAGAAUUAUCAAGCUUUUGCCUUGUAUUUUACACCACUCUCAAAUUAUAUAUUGUUCCUUCAGUCUCAGCAGUUUCCU